CUGGAAGUUUCUUCAGUUGAAGCAGUAAGUUCUAUGUACGUGAAUUUAAGCAGAACGGCAGGUUUGUCCUUUCAGCUGGAUAAUUCUUCAGUUUAUCCGUUAGAGGGCAGCACAUACGCGUGUUAGCGUUUCUCUGCAGACAUCCGGUUGAUUUACUGAGACCCAGACCGUGGUUCUCCAUCUGCAGGACUUCAAUCAUCAGAACCAUAAACGAUGACGUAAAUGAACUGAUUCCAAACCAAAUGGUCCAAUCACGUCUUCAACCUCAGGGGAGUGGACAGAGAAGUUUCCACUGAGGUCGACGUUGGUCAGACUGGAUUAUAAUUUCCGUCUGUGUGGAGCGAUCCUCGUAGAUGUACAGCAGAGUAGAACUGAUCUACGACCACCUGGAAACCCCAGGAAGAACCACUGUCAGUUACCAUGGGGAUCUAACUGAUGAUGUCAUCGCUGUAAGACAAGCCCAAUAACCACUGUUCCAUAUUUACAGUAAAUGCAGUUCUUGAAAUGGCCUCCAGGGGUUUUUACACCGACUGAGGCUCCGUUCAGUUACAGCUCGACGUAGAAGAACCAGGAAGAACCAGAGAAAGAAGUGAGCGCUGUGAGGCUGUUGGAAAACACUGCAGCACAACAGGUUCCUCAGAAUGACUUCUGGUAAAGAAGGGAGGAGAGAAACGCUGACUCAGUAAACACGACACUCCCCUAUGGAAAUGGAACUGUUUCUUAUAACACAGCCUGUUGGAAAAGCCAAGAAUAAAAAACAAAACAAAACUCAGGUCAGCAAAAAAAAAACAAAAACAAAAAAACCAAACAACCUCCUGGUUCUCACCAUCAUCCAGUACCAGCACGGGUUGGUUACCAUGAUUUAACAACAACGUUACGACAGGUUUGGUGUCUAUUGUUUUUAUUUCACUGCAGUUGUAAAGUAGCAGUUGUUCUUCAAAAACAUUAAAAUAAUCAAAUAUUUGAUUAAACAGUUAAUGAUGGAAAAAACACACAGUUUACGAGGGAGGUCCGUGCACACUGUGCUGUAUACAUGAAUAUAAACAGGCGUGUUCUCGGGGAUUUUCUGUGACACUAUGUUUCAUAUUGUGAUUUAUUUUUUGCCUGGUCAAAAACGAAGUUGUUGUUUUGUUGACAGCAUCUGUAUUGAUUUUAUUUAUUGCAGCAUUUUAAGCUAAUGUAAGCUAAUUUUAUUUUAGCGUUAGGUAUCUCUGACCCGAGCUCCAGGUCAGGCCUGUUGGCCCUCAGGCCCUACUUUGAGUCUCAGCCUUCACUGUUGGUUUUGACCAUUAGCUUAAACACAUUGUCAACAUAUAAUCAACAGAACAAGAGAACGGUCCCAUUAUUUGGGCUUUAAUGAGCCUGUAAUUAUCACGACAUUCUGUACUGAGGUAACGACUCUAACAGGUUAAUUCACUUUAUUUGUUUUUCCAGGGGCAACAGAAGGGUGGGUUUUCUACAUUUACUAACCCACGGGUAUAUUUACGUAUAAAACGACUCCAACUGUAAAGUGUGGACUGUUGUGAAAUGUGCUGAAUAAAGACGUUUAACAUGGACUCUAGAUUUUUUUUCUUCUAGUUUUUAACCAGCAUUAAUUCACUGCUGAGAGGAAAGAAAACAAAAACAAAGACUGAAUCAAAGAAUGUUGAGCUAAAGGAUCAAAACUACUCAGGAAACUAACUCUAAAAGGAUAAAAGCUACGAAGGUCAGACUGGAGGAGGUGACGUCUGCUACGUCUCACCGCAGCCUGUAGUUUA